UUAGGUGGAAGCUGGAAAAGAUGAUGGAAUAUACGUUAUCCAUGGCAAUAACAAUACACAAAUUAUCAGAUGGUUUUGUGCCGGUUCCUCUGAACCCAGUUUCUACAGGGUGACACAAAGAGCACCAGGUUUGGCCUAUAAAAACACUGGAUUGCUGUACCAGACAGAAUAACUGAGUUUCAGAAAGUUAUCAUGCUUGCUGCUUGCUUAAGACGGAGAGAUACUAUAUCUGUCUUUCAAGGCUGUUCACUACAUAAACAAACUUGAAAAUAUAGUCUGGAAUAGAGUAUGAAAAAAAUAAGUUAGUCAUUGGGUACAAAUGUGAAAGACCCAGAGCAUAUUGUCUAUGAACAGUUUCUUUGUCUUAGCAAAAUGUUUUUUGAGGAUCAUUUUUGUUAUAUCAUAUAGUCAGUCCAUUUUAUUGCAGCAUUCCAUUGCACCAUGGAUGUACCACAUUUUGUUUUUACAUGCACCACUUUUAGAUGUUAUCUUUAUAUAUUCAGAUUCAGAUUCAUAGAAACUUAUUCAUUGACAUCUCUAUUUAUCUUUCUGAUGAAUUAAAUUCACAUGUGCAAGAUUUUCUUCUGGAAUUGUCUGAGUUUUCUCUGAGUCUAUAUUGUUUCAGUAACAAUCUACAAUAACAACUAUAUGUUAAAUUUGUGGUAUAAACUAACCUAAGUUUAUUUCAGUCACCUAAUAAAUAGCCCAGGACUAAUGCUUCAGUUCAAGAUGCCAUAAAAGAACAGAUUCCUUAUCUUCCUGCUCCCCAUUGGUAGUAUACAGCUUUAUUUUUCAAGGUACCAAGAUGGCUUCUGUAUCUCUAGCCAUUAAGUCCAUAUUACAGGCACGAAGAAUAAUAAUCGGGAAUGGGUUAAAGUGCUAAAUGUAUAAUUAGCUGAGUCUGUACUCUAACAGGAAAUUUCCUCAGAAAGCACACUUUUAUCUUCUAGGCCUUGCAUUAAUCUCUUUCUCAGAUCUCAUUAACCAGAAUAAAAUCUCAAAAUCAUAGCAAAAAGGGAUUUGGUGAAGAUCAUAAAUAUCAGCAUUGGUAAAUCUCAACAGUUAGUCAGAUUUUGAGAAAAAAAUAACAAGUCUCCAUACAGAAAGCAUACAUUUGACUGCCAAAGUUCUAGAAACAAAGGGAGAACACUUAAGGUUCUAUUUUUCAGUAUGGUCAUUUCAUCAUAAUUCUCUUAUUUGGUGUAUGGCUCCUCAACCAGAACCUCAGCUCUUGUUGAUGUUACUGAGCCAAGACUAUCUCCUGGAAGUAAACCCCUUAUUUUCCAUGCUUUGGUGGAAUAAAGAGAGGCAGCAACCUGGCUAUAGAAGUGGGGGUUUGGGAAGACUAGGACUCCAACAACCUUCAGCUUGGCCUAGUGCUUCUAAUUCCUGAGUUUCCAUUUCCUUCUGUACAAAUCAUCUAGCUUUUUCUUGUUUGGACAGCCCAGGCAUUUAGGUUUUCAUUUCCUCCAUUAUGGUAGUAUGAUACUACUGUUCUAUUUAUUUUUCAUCUUUAAGUUGCUGACUCUCUCUCUCUCUCUCUCUCUCUCUCUCUCUCUCUCUCUCCAUCUCUCUACUCUGCUAUUAGCUCCUUUCUUGUUCUCUAUUUCAUUGUGGUUUUGAAUGUUUUCUACAGCUUUAAUUCAAUUUUUAUUUUGUGAAAUGUUGGUAUUAAUCCACUUUUUCCAAGUGAAUGUUCUCCCACUCCUGCAGCCAUACACCAGUACAUUUUCCUAUUCUAGUUGUUUUCAUUAAACCUGGAAGACAUUCUGGAAACAGGAUGAUUUAUCUUAUAAACAGAGAGAGAAAUUCAGGAAUGUGUCCCAAUAAUAUAGUUACUUUACCCUCCCCACAAAUUAAUUCAGCUAAAAUGUUUUUACUAAACAAAGACAAAGAAGGAAAAGGGAAUGUGUUAUAAUAUGGAGUUCAUUUUAUUACAGCAUGAGAUACAUUUUCUAUUUGUUGUAUUCUAUACAACUCAAUCUACUUAAUGUUAAGGAAUAUUUAUACAUUCCCUGAUACAUCAUUGUCUUUGUUGUUUCAGAAAUUUCCUUAGACUCUGAGCACAAAGCCUGAAUGGAUCCCUGGCUUCAAAAACGCUACAGUCAGCUGGAGGUACUGCACAUGGACCUGCAGUUCCAUGUAGGGUGAGGAAGCCUGUGGCAGAAAAAUGCUGCCUGCUACAGUAGCGGAGACCUGGGUGGAAUUUCUGGCUCCUAGCUUCAACCUGGCCCAGCCCUCACUACAGGAGGCAUUUGGACAACAAACCAGAGGAUGGAAAACAGAUAGAAAGCAGAGUCAAGCUAGAAGUAGAAUCAAUGAUCAACCAUGCUACAAAGAAGGCACAGAAGUUCCUGAAUUAUGGCGCUCAGAGAGGUUCUGAAGAGCUGAGCAUGCGGAGAUUUUCCAAGAGUGAUUCACUUGAAGACAGCAUGCAAGGCUUCACCCCAUCUUCUCCCACACCUCGCCUGUGCAUCUCCUCCAUUGGGCUGUUCAUCUCUAUCAUUUACUACAUCCUUUAUUAGUACACUGAUGAACGGAAGUGAAGUAUUUCUCUGACUUCUGUGACCCUCUUUUGCAAAUUAAUCAAAUCCAAGAAAGGAGCUUUAAUUCAUAGGAGGUAAGUUCAAGGUACAGGUGAUAAUUCCCCUCUGGUGUCAAAAGUAUUGUGUUGAAUAAGUGAUCAAGACAAUAGAAUGGGUUUUUUCCCUUAAAUAUACUUAAACUCUGGUUCUUUCCUCCCUCUUUCAGUUUAUUUAUUUGACAAGCAGAGUGACAGAGACAGAUGGAGAUAUAGAAUAAGAAAUCUUCAAUCCUCUGUUUCACUCCUAAUUGCUUGUAACAUACAGCUGGGUCAGGCCAAAGCCAGGAGCCCAGAAUUCCGUCGGGGUCUGCCUCCCAGGAUGUGCAUUAGCAGCAAGCUGGAUUGUAAGCAGAGAAGCCAGGACUCCAACCAGGCAUUCAGAUAGGAGAUGCAGUUGUCUCAAAAGCCAGCCUAAGCCAGUACACAACAAUACCCUUCCUUCUCUCCUUUUUAAGUCUAAUAGCCAUUGAUUCAUUGCCAAAAUCCACUAGUUCAUGAGAAGUAGGUAAAAGUAAGAUUCCACUACUAUUGCUGCUUCUUGCAUUAUAAGCUGGAAUAAUUUCCUCAUAUAAGUUACAUGGUUAAACAAAAGAGUUUACAAGAAAAGCAAGAUAAAUGUUUUAUCUUUAUCUUCUAGUUUUUAAUAUACUGAACUUAUUACCUAGCAUCCAUUUGUGUAUCAUUGUGAACUGAUGUAUUCAAUAAGCUUUGAUGAAUUCUAAAUGAUUGCAAUUAUUCUUAUUAAUGCCUUCAUUUUUUGCUUCUUUGACCUGGGAUAUUUUCUUCAAAUAUGUCUUUGAAUAAUUCUGACAUGACUCUAGGGUCUUUGAAAACUCUCUUGUUAUCUGGUAUAAUGAGAUGUUCCAGGAUUAUUGCUAACAUUUUUGGAAUACUAACUCAGAAGUGAAACUAUUGAAAAAUUUUAUAUAAAUAUCACAACUUGGUGGCUAAGGGUAAUCCAAGUCAAUUUUUCUUUUUCUCCCAUUGAACAAAAUAUUAGUAAACACAGACUGACAAGACAUAUCAGGAGUUCACAGUUCAUAAUACAUACACACACAGUGAAUUAUAUCAGAGGUCUUCAAAAAGUUCAUGCAAAGGUAUAUCAUGCAAUAAAACCUAUAAUUUCAAAAGUCUUUGUGUAAACAUAGAGUUCACUUCCCAAUCACAUGUCAUUCUUGUGGGUUAUUCAAACAAGACACAGGAUUGGUGAAGUAGAUAAAUCUGUGUUAGCAGUCAUAUUAUUCAGGUGUUACUAUUGCUGUUCUUAGAGAGUUGUAUGUAUGAGGGUGCUUUCAGAUGUUCACGGAAAAAUGGAAUUAAAAGCUAAGUUUAUUUUGACAAAAAGACUUUUGACUAUAUAUACUUUUUUCCAAGUUUCUCUUUAAAGUUAAUAUAUGCUAGAGCUCACGUCAUUGUGUUAAACAGUAAUAGUCCUAUUUUCUCCAUAGUACUUUGUUAUGUAGCAGAGUCAAUUAAAUAAGUCCUUGGUUGAUAAACAUUUGAAUUGUUCCAUAAUGUUGAUAAAAAUUGUUACUGUAAAGAAUUUUGUCAAGUGACAAAGAUUCUUGGAAGUGAAAUUCUUGAGUCAAAGAAAGUGAAUAUAUCAGAAUUGUGUAAACUGCAAAAUUACUUACAGAAAGACUAUACCAUGUUAUUCUUACCAGCAUUUCAAAAAUAUAUUUUAUCCAUUUCAUAAAAAUGGGAAUUGAAAUUCGGAAAACGUAAGUGAUUUUUCCAGUCUAUUUCCAGUCUUUAAUGAAAACUACAUCCAUUUGUAAAUACACAUACCCUGUCAAAACUACCUGCUCAGGAAAUAGAAGCUUUGAGAAAAGGGUGGAAAUAGUAAGAUAUUUCAUAUGAAAGUAUAGAAAAUGUUGAACAGCAAUCACUGAAUUAUUUUUAAAAAUGAAAUAUGUAUUUGGAUCUGUAUGUCAGAAAAAUAUUUCUAAAACUAUCUCAGGUUGGUUGCUUUGUAAGGGAUAAAUGGGUUUGGUAGAUGGAUGACGUGGCUCUUAGUAGAAGCUUGAUGAUUCUUAGCUAGAAGAACUGGGAAAGAAAGUUACUGCAUUAGACUAAAAUGCUUCUCCUGCAAAUACAAUCCUCAAUGUGACUGUAUUAGAAGAUAGACUUAGGAGGUAUGUUGAAAGAGGUCAUUUGGGUAGGG